ACUCCUACGGAAGGCAGCAGUGGGGAAUCUUGCGCAAUGGGCGAAAGCCUGACGCAGCAACGCCGCGUGCGGGAAGAAGGCCUUCGGGUUGUAAACCGCUUUCAGAAGGAACGAAACUGACGGUACUUUCAGAAGAAGGUGCGGCCAACUACGUGCCAGCAGCCGCGGUAAU
rnacentral:rRNA from 1 species